UAGAGUUUGAUCAUGGCUCAGAUUGAACGCUGGCGGCAGGCCUAACACAUGCAAGUCGAGCGGUAACAGGGGUAGCUUGCUACCCGCUGACGAGCGGCGGACGGGUGAGUAAUGCAUAGGAAUCUGCCCGGUAGUGGGGGAUAACCUGGGGAAACCCAGGCUAAUACCGCAUACGUCCUACGGGAGAAAGGGGGCUUCGGCUCCCGCUAUUGGAUGAGCCUAUGUCGGAUUAGCUAGUUGGUGAGGUAAUGGCUCACCAAGGCGACGAUCCGUAGCUGGUCUGAGAGGAUGAUCAGCCACAUCGGGACUGAGACACGGCCCGAACUCCUACGGGAGGCAGCAGUGGGGAAUAUUGGACAAUGGGCGGAAGCCUGAUCCAGCCAUGCCGCGUGUGUGAAGAAGGCCUUCGGGUUGUAAAGCACUUUCAGCGAGGAAGAAUC
rnacentral:rRNA from 1 species